CCCGUUAGACGGAGAGCUGGGAGCAACAUCUCCCUCCUCUCAGAAGAGGAAGUAGAGAGAGAGAAGGGGGGGGGGUGUUGUGCAACAACAAGGUGGCGCCCAACGUGGGGCACCGCCCCUUGAGAAGAGGUGGGCCCAUUUCAAAUGAGUAGGAAGGACCUACGUUAACCAAGUCAGUA